rnacentral:rRNA from 1 species
GUGCCAGCAGCCGCGGUAAUACGGUGGGGGUUAGCGUUGUUCGGAAUUACUGGGCGUAAAGCGCGCGUAGGCGGAUUGGAGAGUUGGGGGUGAAAUCCCGGGGCUCAACCCCGGAACUGCCUCCAAAACUUCCAGUCUGGAGUUCGAGAGAGGUGAGUGGAAUUCCGAGUGUAGAGGUGAAAUUCGUAGAUAUUCGGAGGAACACCAGUGGCGAAGGCGGCUCACUGGCUCGAUACUGACGCUGAGGUGCGAAAGUGUGGGGAGCAAACAGGAUUAGAUACCCGGGUAGUCCACGCCGUAAACGAUGAGGGCUAGUUGUCGGGCGGCUUGCCGUUCGGUGACGCAGCUAACGCAUUAAGCCCUCCGCCUGGGGAGUACGGUCGCAAGAUUAAAACUCAAAUGAAUUGACGGGG